rnacentral:lncRNA from 1 species
CAGGAUCUGAAUUUGGUGGCCUCUACACUGCACUGAGAGGGAGGACUGUGGCAUUCAGAAGCCUCCUGUUAGGGGCCGUGUUAGGGGCUGUGGGGUUCCAGCGUGACUCCAAUAUGGUUGCUCCACCCUGGCAAGGCCCUCUCCACUGGCAAAUGGACAACAUGCUCCUGGAGUGACCAGAAUCACUGCGGAGGUUCGUCAGU